UUCAUGGAUUUAUUAAAAAGACAAAAUACCAAGAUAAUAAAUAAAAAUAAAAUCGAAAUAGUUUGUUUUUUAAAAUUUUCAUUGAGCAUUUUAUAAUAAUAUAUCAGCAUAUUAAAAUCAUUAAAAAAUUACAUGCAAUGCAUGUUUACAUUUCCAUGAGUAAUAGUCUUAGUUUAAAGUUUUUUUAAUUUUUAAUUUUUUUAAUUUUUUUCUUAGUAGAUGGCUUUGUACAUUCUGGAUGUUGAAGUAUAUAAGAAAAAUUCCCUGUUUCUGAAAACAUUUAUUUAAGGAAUUUUGAAAGUUGUAGAAUGUAUAUUUUAUGCUUUAUCUAAAAAAAAUAAUUCAAAUUAAAAUCGAAAAAGAAAAUUUCUAACAAAUGUUUAAUUUCUCAACCCGAUGGUCUUGCUUUUGAAUGUUUUACAUAUAAUUGUGUUGUUUUGAAUUUAAGUUUACCUGUAAAUUGUAGUCUCAUGUAAUGUGGUGCUGUUUAAAUAAUGAAAUAUUAACCAGCAUUAUGAGAUAUCACAGUAGUAAUUACUGCAUCAUUUCUUUCUGAAUAAACCACAAGAUAGGAAAUAAAACUUCAACAAACACAAUCACAUGCAUCAUGUUAACAUGUUUAAACGGACUAAUUUGUAUCAAAACAUAAGAAAGUUUAAAUAAUGAAUUGUGUUUUAUUUUUAUUUUUUAUUUUUUUGAAUGUAAUUUCAGGUUUUUGAAUGAGUCAUAUAAAUUUUAAAAAUUUGCAUGAAUUGUUUUUGGGCACUAGACUUUAUUUUGUAUUUCAUUUCAUUUCAUUUUAUUUUAUUGUAAUUUAGUGAAUCAGAAAGUACAUCAGUUACUGCAAAUGAAUUUAUUUUUAUAUAUUAUGAUAAUAUUAAAGUUUUUUUUUUUUUUUUUUUUGAAAAUAUUAUAAAAACCAAAGUAUUGAUUACUUGAAUUUUCGUGACAAGAAUGUGGCAAUUGGUGGCUAUAUUAAUACCUUCUAUAUGAUUUUUCAAAGUGUAGAUUGAAUAAAGUAUGUUUUAAAAUAUAAUGCUUGCCAUGAAAAGUCGACAUUUAAUUUUCACAUGAUUUUAAGUAUAAAAAGAAAAAUGAAUAAAAACGAACACGCUGUUAUGAGAAAUCGUGGCUGAUAUCAAUUUUGAUUUUUUUGGGGAUAUAUUUAUGUAAAGUGCAAGGUUGAUCCUUACAAAAGGAAACAUAAUAUUAAUUAUGAAUCAUUUUAAUUUUGAAAGGAUGAAGUUGGGUAUUACUUUCGAGUUGUACAAACUUAAUUGGAUUUUAUUUUCUACUUUUGAGAUUGGUGACAACUUUUAUUAUGACAUUUGACAAAUUCUGUUUUAUUGUGAUGCAAACCUCGUCCUAUUUCAUAAACAUACUUAAGCGUGUAAACUUGGUAUCUUAAAAAUGGAAAUUAUUAAUAAAAAUGGUAAGAUCUUGGAUGAGACAGGAUCAAAAUGGUUCUCAAGCCAUGCUUGCAUCUUCGUCAUUGUGUGCAAGGAUUUUAUUCCGAUCACUUUUCGGAUUCUACUCUCAGUUUGUUAUAAAAGAUCUUAAAACUGAUUAACGAAUGGAAUAUGUGUUGAAAAUUUUAAUAUUAAAACAUCUUUCUGAUUCUAAACUGAAGUAGGUUUAC
rnacentral:lncRNA from 1 species